UUUAGGAAUAUUCGUCAAUGGAGGAAACUCUGAACGAGCAAUGCCGCGUGAAGGAUGACGGUCCUAUGGAUUGUAAACUUCUGUUGUUAGGGAAGAACGACCUAGGUAGGAAAUGACCUAGGAGUGACGGUACCUUUCAAGAAAGCUCCGGCUAACUACGUGCCAGCAGCCGCGGUAAUACGUAGGGAGCAAGCGUUAUCCGGAUUUAUUGGGUGUAAAGGGUGCGUAGGCGGUUUCUUAAGUCUGUAGUCUAAGCCCGGAGCUUAACUCCGGUUCGCUACAGAAACUGAGUUACUUGAGUAUGGUAGAGGCAAGUGGAAUUUCUAGUGUAGCGGUUAAAUGCGUAGAUAUUAGAAGGAACACCGGUGGCGAAGGCGACUUGCUGGGCCAUCACUGACGCUG
rnacentral:rRNA from 1 species